rnacentral:lncRNA from 1 species
AUCUCAAAAACAAACAAUAUAUAAACAAAUGUCUGACAAAGCAGCACAGGGAUCUGGCACUGCAGUGUUCUCUGUCUCUGGACAUCCAUUAUCUACACCCCUGUCCUUUCUGGGAAACAGCUUCAGGGAGUUCUACUUCUGGGAAAUUACAGGGACAGCCCUGACAACAAUAAACAUAGAAAACACAUGCCAGAGGGACUCAUAUGCCCAACAACAGAGUGUGCUCCCAUCCUAUGGAGCAGCAAAUGCUUUAUGGGUGUCAUUUUUUUCCUUUUUUUUUUUUUAAGUAGCUAAGAAUAAUUGCUCUGAAGACGCAGAGCUAAAUUAACUGCUAACAUCCAAACACAGCCUGACAGUGUACCUGCAAACUUUGCUCCUGGUCCAUGGGUAAAAGGAGCUCUCAGCCUUGCAGAAACCUUCUGUUGGUGCCACCUGCCAUGGGACAGGAAAGAAGCACCUGUGAGCAAGGGCUAUGCACUCAAUACACCACUGCUGACUCCUAAGUGCCGGAAUUUCAUCUACAGAGGUAGCUUUAGAAGUUAGGUGAUGAAUUCUAUUCAUUUAUUUAAAAUAUAUAUAUAAUCCCAGCACUUUGAAAGGCUGAGGUGAGCAGAUCACUUGAGGUCAGGAGUUUGAGACCAGCCUGGGCAAUAUGGUGAAACCCCAUCUCUACUAAAAAUACAAAAAUUAGCUGGCCGUGGUGGUGCGCACCUGUAGUCCCAGCUAAUUGGGAGGCUGAAGCAAGAGGAUCAUUUGAACCCGGAAGGCGGAGGCUGCAGUGGGCCGAGACUGCACCACUGUACUUCCAGCCUGGUGAUGGAGUGAGACUCUGUCUAAAAAAAAAAAACCCCAAAACCCAAAAUUGCCAACAGGAAGAAGGCAGGAGCAAAACAGGUGCUCAUGGCUGCCAAAGAUUUGUGGGUCCUGCCUGGGGUAGAGGUCUAAAUGCCGGCUCUGCAUUGAAGACGUAAGGGAAUUUCUUUGUCUUGCUCUUGCUCUGGCUCCCUGUAACUGCAUACCAUGGUAUCUCUUUUCUUUCUAGGUGAUAAUGCCCCAUCCAUAAGUGGGUUACUAACAAAAUGGAGGACAGGACGUCACUCCUCCCCAAACACCUACAGGGGGAAGGUCCCCUUUUACUGAGCACUGUGGCCACAAUUUUAACAGUUACUGCAAAAUAAAAGUUGCUACAUUCUCAUGAUGAUGUGUUUUCCCAUCACCUGAAAAAUUAUUUACCGAGUGUCUGUAGCCAGGGUGAAAAACACCCCUAAAGUUUAGAUAUGCAUCAGUAUUUCCCUCAAGAAUAGCACACGUUAAAACUUUUAUAAAGAGAAAACAAAAAUAAGGAGUUGAAAAACAUAUAAGUAUAAAUUAAUAGCCACAAAAGGGAGAAGUUAAAGAGAGACUAUGAAAACAUCUUUGUCUUGCAGAAAGAUACAAUCUGAGAAGCAACCCUGCAGGACUUGGCUGAAAGUCAACAGGCGGCUGAUCAAAUGAAGCAAUAGAAGCUGUGUAAUUUGUCACAUCAAGCACCUGCGACAAACCCACGCACAAUCCGAGGAAUAGAUGACCAACAUACAUACUUAAAGAAUGUGAACUUUCAACACAACUUGUUCAUAACAAGAUUCUGCAUAUGAGAAAACCAAGAACCAGAAAGACAAGGGAUCUGUCAGGAACACCAUAUGCUGCAACAGAACAAUGACACCUGAGGUGACUUUCCCUUGACUUUCCCUUUCUUUUUUUGUUUUUUUUUUUUUUUUGAGACGGAGUCUUGCUCUGUUGCCCAGGCUGGAGUGUAGUGGCCCGAUCUUGGCUCACUGCAACCUCCACCUCCCGGGUUCACGCCAUUCUCCUGCCUCAGCCUGCCGAGUAGCUGGGACUAUAGGCGCCUGCCACCACGCCUGGCUAAUUUUUUUGUAUUUUUAGUAGAGACGGGGUUUUACCAUGUUAGCCAUGAUGGUCUCGAUCUCCUGACCUCGUGAUCCAUCCGCCUCGGCCUCCCAGAGUGCUGGGAUUACAGGCUUGAGCCACUGCGCCCAGCCUGACUUUCCCUUUCUUGUCAGACUGACAAGGCCAGACACUUAAAUUCAUGCUCUUUAAUUUCAAGAAAACCUCUCCCUCCUUCCCUUUUUCCUUUCCUUCCUUCCUCUUUCUCUCUCUCCCUUUCUUAUAUUUAAUUUAAACAAACUUGGUUUCCUGUUUUCUUUGCAGAAAAGUAGAAAUAAAUUGAAGGGAGGAAGGAACAAGGAGGAGACAGUGAGAGGACUGGGGAGGCUCCCUGUACAAAAGGUGGCAAAAGAGCUGAGGAUUGACAGCUGGCAAAAGUCUGUUCUUUGUUUUGGCUUACUUCUCAUUUAUUGACUAUAUGUUGCACUUGGGUAUUUAUAUAGUAAAGAAAUUAAUUUACUUUUCUUUUCUUUCUUUCCUCACUCCUUUCUGCCUCUCCCCUACCUCCCAAAUCUUCUUCUUUUUUUUUGAGACAGGGUCUUGCUCUUCACCCACAUUGAAGUGCAGUGGCACAAUCACAGCUCACUGCAGCCUUGACCUCCUGGGCUCAAGCAAUUGUCUUACCUCAGCCUCCCAAAUAGCUGGGACCACAGGCAUGCACCAACACUCCUGGCUAAUUCAAAAAAAUGUUUUGUAUUAACAGGGUCUCCCUAUGUUGCCCAGGCUGCUCUUGAACUCCUGGGCUCAACCAAUCUUUGGUCUCCCAAAGUGCUGGGAUUAAAGGUGUGAGCCACUGUGCCUGGCACCAAACCUUCUUGACAUCUAACCACAUUGUAAGAUCUGUAGAGUGCAGGUCUACUUAAGAGCCUGAGUUCUAAUACCAGACUACCUUGGUGUGAAUCCCGGCUUUCCCCAACUUGUUAACUGGGUCAUCCUCUGUAAGGUACUUUAACUCCUUGUUCUAUAGUUUUCACAUCUGUUAAAUAAGAAAAAUGAACAGAACCUACCUUACAGGCUUGUGGUAUGAAUUAUUUAUAAAGUCCUCCCUGAAAUACUAGCUAUUAUUAUCAUAAAGCUUCACCUUAUCUCACAGAUAAUCAGUAUCUUCUUUUUCUCAAUUCAACAAAACCACAGUCGGUAGAUAGUGCAUAUUUAUUUUGAGAAGUCUUAAUGGAGUAUGGCUGGUCUAACAGGUUAUUUUCUCUCUCUCUUUUUUUUUUUUUUUUGGAAGCAGAGUCUCGCUCUGUUUCCCAGGCUGGAGUAAAGUGGCGUGAUCUGGGCUCACUGCAACCUCUGCCUUCUGGGUUCAAGCGAUUCUCCUGCCUCAGCCUCCCAAGUAACUGGGAUUACAGGCGCCUACCAUCACACCCAGCUAAUUUUUGAAUUUUUAGUAGAGACAGGGUUUCACCAUGUUAGCCAGGCUGGUCUCGAACUCCUGAUCUCAAGUAAUUUGCCCACCUCGGCCUCCCAAAUUGCUGGGAUUACAGGCAUUAGCCACUGCACCCGACCUGGUCUAACAGGUUCUUGUAGCACGUCUCAGGAAAGUGGCCUUGUGGUUCAGUCCAGCUCUGGCAGAACACGCUGAAGUUUGAGACUGGACUCAGGCACACCUGUGAGUCAGCUAUGUGGAUCGGCCUUGAGCUCCAGGCCAGCCUGGGGCCACCCAGGGCCACCCUAGGGAUUGCAGUUCCACAGAGCCUGGUACAGAUCUGACAUGGCCCCAAUCAACCUCUCCAGGCCCAUCCACUCUCUGCCACUAAAAUUAUGCCCCAAAUGCUUUGCUUCAAAAGCACAGCACUUCCCUGGGCUAGUCCUGCUAUUUCUUGCACCGCCCACGCUUGUUCAUCUUUAUCUGGAACACCUUUCUCCUCCUCACUCCCUGGCAAACUUCCACUUUCCCUUCCAGGUUUUAUUUAACUCUCAUUUCCUCUAUCUGGAAGCCCCCUCAGCAGUGCCUGCCCUCUGUGCCAAGUCUCCUAGUUAUGUCUAUCCUGAUAUUUUCCAGAUUAAUGGACACAAUUCUGGCUGACCCUUCCCAUAGACUGCCAACUCCUAGAGAGCCCAGCAGCACUUCUGAGUGAUCAAAUGAUGGGCAAGCCUUUUGGAUUUCUUUCAAAAUUAAGCUCAUGGGCUUUUGAUCAGUGUUAAGAGUCAGAUGAGGACCAGCAUGGUGGCUCACACCUGUAAUCCCAGCACUUUGGGAGGCCCAGGUGGGAGGAUUGCUUGAGCCUAGGGAUUCAAGACCAGCCUAGGCAACAUAGGGAGACCCUGUCUCUACAAAACAGAAAGAAAAAAAGAGAGAAAAUCUGGGCUCCUAGAGAUUUGUUCUCAGUGGAAAGUGGGCCAGACAUGUGAAUUCUUACAUUCCUAAAGUGCAGGGUAGCAGUUACUACCACCCAUUUUUGGAGGAAGUUUCAAAGGAAUCAGACAAUUAGCUUGUUUCUUAAGGACUUCUGAGAAAAGAGAAAACAAUACUACAAUUUCUGCUUAAGUGUCACUCGGCAAACAGGUAUAACAUGUAGGUCUGACUCAAGUAUGGAUAGGUAGGAGAGAAUUACAAAUUUUUCAUGAGCUCUGAAGUUGCAGCAACUUAUUUACUUCAAUGAUAGAGCUCUAAAGGAUUUGAAGAGUUGUGGAAAUAGCAGUAAAAUGUCAUGCUAGGAGCCUCGUAGAAUUGGAGAAUGCAAGAGAGAGAAGUGGCCUUACAGAUCAAUUACUAGUUCUGAAUUAUGAGUUAGUGAUAACAUUUUCACUGGUCCCCAGAAAACUGAGAUACGUUUGGAUAAUCUGCUAUUUAUUUUUUUUAUAGUAUUGGCUCCAAGUGGUACCAUAUUAUUUUUUAAAAAGCUACAUAAAUUCAACAUAAAGAGUUGUUCCUUAUUCUGAGAUUAAAUUUGUUUACACUUUUAUGGUACUAAAAUAUUCUUUCAUGAAAAGAUGGUGAUUAUAAAUGGUAGUUUGGUCUUUUUUAAAAAAAAAAAAAAACUACUGAAAUAUAACACAUAUAUUCCCAAUUAGGUUUUUUUUUGAGAUAGGGUCUUGCUCUGUUGCCCAGGGUAGAGUGCAGCAGAGAUCACGGCUCACUGCAGCCUCCAACUCCUGGGCUCGAGAGAUCCUCCUGCUUCAGCCUCUUGAGUAGCUGGGACCCCAGGUGCGUGUUACCACACCUGGCUAUUUUUUUUUUCAAUUUUUUGUUGAGAUGGGAUCUCACUGUGUUGCACAGUCUGGUCUCGAACUCCUGGGCUCAAGUGAUCCUCCUCUGCCUCAGCCUCCCAAAGUGCUGGGAUUACAGGUGUGAGCCACCAUACCCAGCGAACGCAAGUUUUAUGCAGUCCAUUAGAGUGCAUGUUAAGCCUACUGUGCUUUGCCACAAUGAUUUUUUACAAUCAAGUAAAAUAACUUGGCCUUUACAGGCCUUUAAAUGCACAAAUUAUGCCCUGUUGUGAUUUUCAUCUGAUCAACUCAACCGGAUAGCAUGAGAAGAUUUUAUAAAUAUACACAAAUAAAUAUGCACUUAUUUCAUAACCUCCACUUAUAAGCUAAUUGAUUCACUUUCUUCCUUAUCAGUCACAAAACAGCAGCCACCACUAUUUUUUCCUUGCAGUUCACAACAUAUAGUUCUACUGCAGUAAUUCUGCCUCUAGGACCAGAUGGGCCAGCUUACUCAUGCCCUUCUAUUGAGUCAUGUAAAUAUCACAAGAUGACACAUGCUACCAAGACAAACAGAAAAGCCUUUAAACUCAGCCCUGGAGCCAGGAAAAUAUUCAAAAACUGUGAUGCCAAAAAUUUGACCCCAUUGAGCUCAAUUUUUCAUUAUUAUUCCAAUUAGUUUUGUAGUCACUAUAUUUAUGGGAGUUCCUAAUGCCUGCUGUUACCUGAAGUUGCUGUUGGGUAUGCAGGCUCACAUGCUUACCUUUCUUCCUCAUAAAAAGUUUGAACUAGCAGCCAUAAACUCAACCCAUUAAAGAGGCCAAAGUGGCCGGGCGCAGUGGCUUACACCUGUAAUCCCAGCCCUCUGAGAGGCUGAGGCGGGCAGAUUGCUUGAGUCCAGGAGUUUGAGACCAGCCUGGGCAACGUGGUAAAACACUGUCUCUACUAAAAAUACAACAGGCGUGGUGGUGUGUGCCUGUGGUCCCAGCUACUCAGGAAGUGGAGAUGGGAGAAUCAUCUGAGCCUGGGGAGGAGGUCUAGGCAGCAGUGAGCUGAGAUUGUGCCACUGUACUCCAGCCUGGGCAACAGAAUGAGACCCUAUCCCCUCCCGCACCGCCCCCCUCCCAAAAAAGCCAGCUAAAACAAAAGCUGUUACCUAGUGUAAGAUGAGUAUCCAGUAAAGUUAUUUAAAAUUUUUUUUAACUUUAGUUUCUUUUGCAUUAAAAAAAUUUUUUUUUAAUCUUAAAAAAAAAUAAGACGGGGUCUCACCAUGUUGCUCAGGCUGAUCUCAAACUCCUGGCCUCAAGUGAUCCAACCGCCUUGGCCUCUCAAAGUGCUGGGAUUACAGGCGUGAGCCACCGCGCCCAGCCCCAGUAAAGUAUUAUCUUACUCACCAUUUUUUAAAAAUUUUUGAAAUUUUGAAAUAAUUUUAGACUUACAGAAAAGUGGUAAAAAUACUGCAUCUCUGUCCCAGCUUUCCCUCAUGCUAACAUUUUACAUAAACACAGUACACAUAUCAAAACUAAGAAAUUACCACUAGAAUAAUUCUAUUAACUAAACUGUAGACUUUAUUAAGAUUUCACCGCUUUCUCCACUAAUGUCCUUUCUUGGCCUCGAGAGCCAAUCCAUGAUCCCACAUAACACAAAAAGGUUAAAUUCACCAACCUGUAGGAAUCAGGGUUUCAUCCACAGGCAAAUAAGUAUCCGCUUCUAUGGUGACUUCAUGGUCAUUUAUAUUUGGGGAAGCCUGGGAGGAAAAGGUAGGGGAAAGGUUUUCUGCUUAGUCUUAUUUCAUAUAUUUGUUUUUUAACUUAUCUUGCAAAAAUGUUUUCAGGCAUUGACAAAAACUUUUAAAAUCUUGUUUGGCUGAUGGUCAUGAUUAAAUAUAAUCAACUAAGUGGAGGUAGAUAAGGCCUCAAAAUAGCAACAGAUAAAUUUGGAAGAAACUUUCAAGUGUGCAUGCAUUUUCUUUUCUAAAUAGAAUAUGAAGGUGAAAAGUCAGAGACCACAGUGGUUUGAAAGCCUUUUGGACCUUGGCUUAUUAGUGGAGGUGUUUCUUCUAUUCUUCUCACUUGCCAGGCAAACAGAAGAGCAAUGACUGGUAACCAGGAACACACACAUCCUGAGAGGUCAGGGUACUGCUCCAGGCUCACUCCUGGGGGUGCACCUGGCACCCCCCUCUAGCCCAGUUUCCACACAGAGGCCCCACUCUCUGCUCCAUGACAGAAGCCCAGGUGUCAGAACCGCAGUCCCUGCUUUUGAGAAUUUGCCCACCUCCUCCAUGAAGAUGCAGCCUGGCCUUUGCAGGGGAGUCAAAGGCUGGUGUACUGGUCAGUGUCAGAAGGCCUGGGGUGUAGUUCCAGCUCUUCCUGAGUGGUCCCAGGGAAUUCAUUUAACCUCAUAGACUCUCAUUUCCUUUGGUUUAAAAUUGGGCUAAUGAGGCCGGGCGCGGUGGCUCAUGCCUGUAAUCCCAGCAUUUUGGGAGGCCGAGGCAGGCGGAUCACCUGAGGUCAGGAGUUCGAGACCAGCCUGACCAAAAAGAAGAAGCCCCGUCUCUACUAAAAAUACAAAAUUAGCCAGGUGUGGUGGCACAUGCCUGUAAUCUCAGCUACUCAGGAGGCUGAGGCAGGAGAAUUGCUUGAACCCGGGAGGUGGAGGUUGCGGUGAGCCAAGAUCGCGCGUGCCAUUGCACUCCAGCCUGGGCAUCAAGAGCAAAACUCCAUCUCAAAAUAAAUAAAAUAAAAUAAAUUUGGGCUAAUGAUGCCUCUACCUUUUCCAGGGUCCUUGUGAAUAACAGUGUAGGAAAGGUGCAUUGUGUUGUUUGCAAAUCGGCAAAUAACUUUAUACAUGCAUGUUUCUAGUACAAAUAUUAUUUUAUAUUAUCAAUAGCAACAUAUUUUAAAGCUUCACACCAGAAGAUGUGGAAGGGAAACCAAGUGAGGGCUUUUGCUCAGUGAAUGCUCAAAGAUGAGCUAAACUAGUGGUUCUCAAUUGGGGAUAAUUUUGUCUCUCAGGGGAUAUUUGACAUUUGACUUUUUUUUUUUUUCUGAGACCGAGUUUCGCUCUUGUUGCCAAGGCCGGAAUGCAAUGGCGCGAUCUCGGCUCACUGCAACCUCCGCCUCUCGGGUUCAAGUGAUUCUCCUGCCUCGGCCUCCCUAGUAGCUGGGAUUACAGGCAUGCACCA